AAUAAUUAAUAAAAAUAUUUAUUAAUCUCGAUUUUAUAAGAGUUAAUAAUUUAAUAAAGUUAAUGUAUUAAAAUUAUUUUUUAUAAAUUAUUAGAAAUGACCGUCGUUAAUAGAAUAUUUUUUUAGAAAAAUAAUUUUCAUAAAUUUAUAAUUGAAUUAAUAUCAGAUCAAGGUGUAGCUUAUAUUUAAGUAGAAAUGGGUUACAAUAAAUUUAUUUAAAUGGAUUUAAAUUUGUAAUAUUUAAUAAAAUUGGAUUUGGUAGUAAAAUUUUAAAGAUUAAAAAUUUGACUUUAGCUCUAAAAUAUGUACACAUCGCCCGUCGCUCUUAUUAUUAAAGUAAGAUAAGUCGUAACAUAGUAGAUGUACCGGAAGGUGUAUCUA
rnacentral:rRNA from 1 species